UGUUUUGUUUUCAAUCCCACAGUUGC
rnacentral:piRNA from 1 species